rnacentral:misc_RNA from 1 species
UUUGUAGUCGUUCGUAUUUCGCGCGAUAGAUGUCGCCACAUCACUCCCCUCCGAGACCGGAGGUCGAUAGCAGGUUGAGUCGUCCAUAGAUCUUUCUGAUGCUUGCCGGGCCAGUGAUGUUCCAGUGAGUCGGAACCAGAUGCCGCAUAGUUCACGGUGAGUCGGAACUGUCUGCGGUGAUGUUGCAUAUGCUCCAGUGAGUCGGAGUGGUGCAGUGCUGCGUAGUGGCUGGCUGCUGCAUCGACCAGGAGAGAAGUGCGUCUCUGCUUGCUGACCGGCCGAAGUGCAGUGUGCUGUGCCAAAGUCGCUGAGAAGGCUGUGAGUGAUGACCAGGAAUGCGCGUCCGCUGCAUGCUGGUGGUCAGGAUACCCGUAGUAGCCGUAGAUGCUGGCUGCUUCUCGCUGCUCGAAAGCUUGAGGAAGUGAUGAUGACGAUCAAGGUUGCGCUGAUGUUCAUGCUCAGGGUCACCAGUUUGGGAGAUGCGGAGGUAUAGGUUGUGAAGUUCUCGGCCGCCAUCGCAAAGGGAGGAUCCUCCAACC